GGGUCUGUAGCUCUAACUGGGAGAGCGCCUGUUUUGCACACAGGAGGCUGUGGGUAUUCCCUAGCGGGAACGCUAGCGCGAACGCCCCCCACCAGAUCCA
rnacentral:tRNA from 1 species